rnacentral:rRNA from 1 species
GGACUACCGGGGUAUCUAAUCCUGUUUGAUCCCCACGCUUUCGUGCCUCAGCGUCAAUAUCGGCGUAGUAUGCUGCCUUCGCAAUAGGUGUUCUAUGUCAUAUCUAUGCAUUUCACCGCUACAUGACAUAUUCCGCAUACCUCCACCAAAUCCAAGAUAUAUAGUAUCAAUGGCAGUUUCCAAGUUAAGCUUAGAGAUUUCACCACUGACUUACAUACCCGCCUACGCACCCUUUAAACCCAGUGAAUCCGGAUAACGCUUGCACCCUCCGUAUUACCGCGGCUGCUGGCAC